rnacentral:rRNA from 1 species
UGAAGAGAGGAGCUUGCUCUUCUUGGAUGAGUUGCGAACGGGUGAGUAACGCGUAGGUAACCUGCCUUGUAGCGGGGGAUAACUAUUGGAAACGAUAGCUAAUACCGCAUAACAAUGGAUGACACAUGUCAUUUAUUUGAAAGGGGCAAUUGCUCCACUACAAGAUGGACCUGCGUUGUAUUAGCUAGUAGGUGAGGUAAUGGCUCACCUAGGCGACGAUACAUAGCCGACCUGAGAGGGUGAUCGGCCACACUGGGACUGAGACACGGCCCAGACUCCUACGGGAGGCAGCAGUAGGGAAUCUUCGGCAAUGGGGGCAACCCUGACCGAGCAACGCCGCGUGAGUGAAGAAGGUUUUCGGAUCGUAAAGCUCUGUUGUAAGUCAAGAACGGGUGUGAGAGUGGAAAGUUCACACUGUGACGGUAGCUUACCAGAAAGGGACGGCUAACUACGUGCCAGCAGCCGCGGUAAUACGUAGGUCCCGAGCGUUGUCCGGAUUUAUUGGGCGUAAAGCGAGCGCAGGCGGUUUGAUAAGUCUGAAGUUAAAGGCUGUGGCUCAACCAUAGUUCGCUUUGGAAACUGUCAAACUUGAGUGCAGAAGGGGAGAGUGGAAUUCCAUGUGUAGCGGUGAAAUGCGUAGAUAUAUGGAGGAACACCGGUGGCGAAAGCGGCUCUCUGGUCUGUAACUGACGCUGAGGCUCGAAAGCGUGGGGAGCGAACAGGAUUAGAUACCCUGGUAGUCCACGCCGUAAACGAUGAGUGCUAGGUGUUGGAUCCUUUCCGGGAUUCAGUGCCGCAGCUAACGCAUUAAGCACUCCGCCUGGGGAGUACGACCGCAAGGUUGAAACUCAAAGGAAUUGACGGGGGCCCGCACAAGCGGUGGAGCAUGUGGUUUAAUUCGAAGCAACGCGAAGAACCUUACCAGGUCUUGACAUCCCGAUGCUAUUUCUAGAGAUAGAAAGUUACUUCGGUACAUCGGUGACAGGUGGUGCAUGGUUGUCGUCAGCUCGUGUCGUGAGAUGUUGGGUUAAGUCCCGCAACGAGCGCAACCCUUAUUGUUAGUUGCCAUCAUUCAGUUGGGCACUCUAGCGAGACUGCCGGUAAUAAACCGGAGGAAGGUGGGGAUGACGUCAAAUCAUCAUGCCCCUUAUGACCUGGGCUACACACGUGCUACAAUGGUUGGUACAACGAGUUGCGAGUCGGUGACGGCGAGCUAAUCUCUUAAAGCCAAUCUCAGUUCGGAUUGUAGGCUGCAACUCGCCUACAUGAAGUCGGAAUCGCUAGUAAUCGCGGAUCAGCACGCCGCGGUGAAUACGUUCCCGGGCCUUGUACACACCGCCCGUCACACCACGAGAGUUUGUAACACCCGAAGUCGGUGAGGUA